GAAAGCAGAUCAUACUGGCACAUAUCGGUGGAAAACAACACAUCUUUUUUUUUCGGGUUCUCAUGAUCUUCCACAGAAGUCAGAAACGCAAAUAUAUCCAUGGGCUUCCAUUUUCAGAGAUCUUCUCUAAGGAACAACAACAUCAACAUAUAUAUCAAGGUUCAGGAAUAAAAUUAUAUGUUUUAUAGGAGUCAGCAAUGACAAAACUAGCAUGUAAUGGGCAUACUGAAGACAACCUACAUCCAUUUAGGCAAAGACAAUAAAAAUUCAGAACAGUGUGCCCACCAUUUUGGAUUUAGGCACGACAAAAUUGUCAACGGAAGCCAUUGUCCUCAAAAUUUAGGACAGUCCAUCUUAGGCAUUGCAUUUUAGCAGGCAGUACAGUAAGCAUAGCCUGCUACCUCAAGUACAUAGUUCAUUACCUUAGCCUUUGCAUCCCAUCAGCAAGCGUUUUUUGGUGGCGCACUAAAACCAAACAUGUACCAGCAUCCUCCUGCUACAUCAAUUUCAAGGUAUGCGGGUCCUGAAAAACUGAGAUAUGUUUCCUCCUGGUGGUUGCUGUGAUCUUCUCCCCUCGUUUCAACCUCUUUCUCCUUUGAUUUGAUCGCUUAGGUCCCUGCUUUUGCCAAGACUGACAACUGCUCAUUAAAUUUACUUACUUACUUACUUACGAAACCUUUUAUCCCAAACAAGUUGGGGUAGGCUAGAUAUGAAACCCUUUCACGAGGACUUCCCAGGAGGUCACCCAUCCUAGUACUACUCUCGCCCAAAUGGGUUUCAUACCCAAAAGACUGGCUAGUUUUUACGUUGGCUUGCCAAGCCUAUCACAACCCUUAGAUAUGAAACCCUUUCACGAGGACUUCCUAGGAGGUCACCCAUCCUAGUACUAUUCUCGCUCAAAUGGGUUUCAUACCUAUGGGACUGGCUAGUUUUUACGUUGGCUCGCCAAGCCUAUCACAACCCUCCUCCUUUACCCGGGCUUGGGACCGGCUAUGCCUAGAAGACAUA
rnacentral:rRNA from 1 species